AAUAGAUACCCGGGUAGUCCACGCCGUAAACGAUGGAUGCUAGCUGUUAUGCGUAUCGACCCGUGUAGUAGCGAAGCUAACGCGUUAAGCAUCCCGCCUGGGGAGUACGAACGCAAGUUUAAAACUCAAAGGAAUUGACGGGGACCCGCACAAGCGGUGGAGCGUGUUCUUUAAUUCGAGGCUAAGCGAAGAACCUUACCAGGGCUUGACAUCCUUGGAAUUUCUCCGAAAGGAGAGAGUACUUUAUUGGACCAAGUGACAGGUGCUGCAUGGCCGUCGUCAGCUCGUGUCGUGAGAUGUUUGGUUAAGUCCAUUAACGAGCGCAACCCUUAUGAAUAGUUGUAUUUUUCUAUUCAGACUGCCCCGGUAACGGGGAGGAAGGGGGGAUGAUGUCAGGUCAGUAUUGCCCUUACGCCCUGGGCUAGAAACGCGCUACAAUGGCCGGUACAAUGCGCUGCCAACCCGCGGGGGGAGCAAAUCGCAUCAAAGCCGGUCCCAGUUCGGAUAAGAGGCUGAAACUCGCCUCUUUGAAGCCGGAAUCGCUAGUAAUCGUAGGUC
rnacentral:rRNA from 1 species